rnacentral:rRNA from 1 species
UACAGAGGCCUCGAGCGUUAGGCGGAAUCACUGGGCUUAAAGCGUGUGUAGGUGGAUGCCUAAGUACCUUGUGAAAUCCCACAGCUUAACUGUGGAAUUGCUGGGUAUACUGGGUGUCUUGAGCCACUCAGGGGCUACCGGAACAAAUGGUGGAGCGGUGAAAUGCGUAGAUAUCAUUUGGAACGCCAAUGGUGAAAACAGGUAGCUGGGGGUGUGCUGACACUGAGACACGAAAGCCAGGGGAGCAAACGGG